CAGAGGGGGGGGGGGGGGGGAAUUACAUUAAAAAUCUGAAAAAAUUCACAAGAUUUUAAACUGUAUUAGGGUCCUUACAAGUUGCUCAGAUUGCAUCUGAGGGUCUGCAUUAAAAAAAAUCCUGGCCCCCAGACUCGGACACCUGCCACAUCCGCCUUUUGCUGCCAAAUCCUGUGGGGAAAAACUUGCCACCACUCAAGAAAUCCUGGGCAGAACCCUGAGUUAGAUCAGUAAAAUAAUCUGGAUGGAAUCAAUAGGAGGCAAGAGAAAGGUGUGUGUUACGGGAAGGCUACGGGGUGGGGGUUACAUUCAUAUACAGUACAACCUGUGUUAAUGACAAAGGGAUAUUUAGCAUGUGACCCUUAAGACAGGUGGCCGCUUAUUACAGGUCAGUUUAUCCAAUAAUAGAUUUGGGAGAAUACAAUGGCCACAUAAAACAGGUAGCUGUAUAAUACAGGUAGUAGAUGGAGCAGGUUUGACUGUAAUAAACAUGUAAUUGCUUAAUAUUAUAGCAUGUGAAUUUAUAGGUGAUCCAAAUUGUAUGGUAAUAUAUGUUUAAAUCCCAUUGGACUAAAUUUAAAGGUUGUAAUGAAGAUAAGAGGGCUUUUUUUUUAUAUCAAAAACAUUAAUUAACAAAGAUUUCGAAAUUCAACAAUUCAUGUAACCAGGUAAGGUAACAAAUAUGUUUGACAAAGAUAACUAAUCUACAUUCCAAAAAUAUGCGAAACUAAACCUUCCAGUGGUAUCUGCUACUUACGCCGUGGAUUCUGCCAGUGAUACUGAAUACCAUGUGAAGGUAAACAAUGAAGUUAAACAAAAGAGCUUCGAAUAUGGACUUGGCAAAAAUAAUCUGGAUAUAUCACACUUGAAAGAAGGAUAUUAACAUAAGGAAAAGCCCAGUGUUGAGAAGAUGUCUUCCAGUGAGGGUGAAGAUGAUUAUUUCAAGGUUGAAGUACCAGAUUGUUAGCAAAUGUUUGACAUCCAAUAGCCGAUAAUGAAUAAAUCAAUGUGAGCUAGUGGUAUUGUUAAACAAAAUAAACUUAUUAUUGUUUGGA